rnacentral:lncRNA from 1 species
AUGGUGAAGAGGUGGGGUGAAGGGGAUGGUGGAAUCUGGAAAAAUGAUGACGAUGGCGUGGGAAGGAUGGUGGAGGGCAGGUUUUUGAACCUGCAAUCCCACUUUUUGCAGCCAUGAUUAUUGGGAACUCUAAGCCAAACCCCGUUUUUUUCAAGGACCACACUUGAUUUUGAGUGUUUUGUUGUUUUUUAUUUUUUUUUCCAGUCGACGAUGAUAAGUUCAAUCUAUCUAAGACACCUACUGAGUUGUGAUUUUUGGGUGAGUUCAUUUUGUGUAAAAAGGUUUUUGUAAAAAAUAAAAAAGUCUAAAACCGUAAAAAAGUUUUGGUAAAAAAAUUUGGAAAAAAACUUUUUGUAAAAAAAGGGUUAAAACUUAAAAAAGUUUGCGUAUAAAUUUUUUCUCUUUUGUAAAAAAGUUUUUGUAAAAAAAAAUUUGUAAAAAAGUUUUUGUAAAAAAAAGUUUAAAACCAUAAAAAAGUUUUCGUAUAAAACGUAAAAAAGUUUAAAAACGUGUGUAAAAAGGUUUUUGAAAAAACAAGGUUAAAACCGUAAAAAAGUUUUCGUAUAAAUUUUUGUUCUUUGUAAAAAAACAAAUUUGUAAAAUCUUUUUUUGUAAAAAAACAGUUUAAUACCGUAAAAAAAGAUUUCAUAAAAACCAUUAAAAAGUUAAAAAACGUUUGUCUAAAAAAAGUUUUUUUUUUUGUUUUUGUAAAAAAAAGUUUUUUUUUUUGUAAAAAAAUGUUAAAACCGGAAAAAAAGUGUUGGUAUAAAUUUUUGUUCUUUAUAAAAAAAUU